rnacentral:tRNA from 1 species
AGGGAAGAAGCUACACAUAGCAAUUAGCCGUUACCUAAUAGAUAGUGAUUAAACUCACCUACCCUA